UGUACUAUGUGCAGGAAGCCAGAUAUAUUAAGAGAAAACCCAGUAUCAGGAAUUCAAUCAUGGGAUUGGAAUCUGAGUGGUGACAAAUCCACAUAUCAUGCAUUGUACCCAAGGGCUUGGACAAAAUAUGAAGAACCUGACCCAGCACUGAGAAUAGUUUGUCCUCAGAUCUCACCUAUUAUACCCCAUAAUGAGUAG